UCUGUGGCUCAGUUGGUAGAGCAAUUGAUUCGUAAUCAAUAGGCCGGCAGUUCGAGUCUGCCCA
rnacentral:tRNA from 1 species